UAAAGAACAGAAAAAGAUGGCCUUCUUGUACCUUUCCUCCCAGUCAAGGAAUCUGAGCUCAGAGAGCUGAGGAGGACUCUGGAAAGAGCCCGAGUAGAGCAGGACGCCCUGCAGAGACAGCUGGCUGAGUUCCAGAGCCAGCAGCAGAGGCUGGAGGUGGAGCUGGCGGGCCUGAAGACCUACCGGGUCAUCCUGGAGAAGGAGUUUGAGAACCUGAACACGGUGCUGAUGCUGUCCCACUGUGGCCUGCAAGUGAUGGACACGGUACCAUUGUCUCCUAUUUCUUCCACCACCGCACAAAGUCUUCCAGCUUGCACUUUUCCUUCAGCUAAAAAAGACUCUUGAAGAAGUUCUCAGUGGAGGAGAAAAUCAGAGCCCCGA